rnacentral:rRNA from 1 species
UACGUAGGGGGCAAGCGUUGUCCGGAAUCAUUGGGCGUAAAGAGCGUGUAGGCGGCCCGAUUAGUCCGCUGUGAAAGUCCAGGGCUCAACCCUGGAAUGCCGGUGGAUACUGUCGGGCUAGAGUCCGGAAGGGGCGAGUGGAAUUCCUGGUGUAGCGGUGAAAUGCGCAGAUAUCAGGAGGAACACCAAUGGCGAAGGCAGCUCGCUGGGACGGUACUGACGCUGAGACGCGAAAGCGUGAGGAGCAAACAGG